AGUGAGUUUCCUGUCUGGAAGGAGACCGGUUUAUUGUGACCACAAAGAGUCGGGCUGACAGGGCUGAUCUAACGACCUUGUAAAGGCGAACUUAACACAAUGGUGGAGAAUCAUUUUUGCGACAUUAGAGACAAUUUGUCUAACUUUAACGUCAUAGAAAGUAAUGCAGAUCAGUGGUAUGGCGACGGAAUAACUUAAACAUCUGGAUCUGCUUGGUUCAUUGUAUCAUACCAGGAACCGAUGAAGCCAGAACCCUCCACAUUCGAUCCAGGCUCCUAAGAGCUCCACACUGGAGACCAGUGUAAUGGGCGUGGUUGACCUCAAAAGGUCACUGGAGGACUACGAGGCCUUCAGGCCAUCACAUGAUCAGGGUUAUGGGUGUCGGCACACAUUCCUAAGGCAGAACUGCUUCGACCCCCUUCCAGUGGAGAAUGGAAACAGCACGGUUGGAUCUCAGCAGGGUCUGUCGCCUCUAUCUCCCCCACACGGGCAGAGAGAUGUGUAAAAACAGAGGGCGGCGACUUCAUCGACCCAUUUACCUCUGAUUGAUCAUCAGUCUGCCGCCCUGCAUUCCUCUGCUGUGUAUAAACACAGUCACAAAGCUCACUACACAUGUGUAUUCCAUCACGGAGGUCAGAAGGCAAAGAUGCUAGCGCUGCAGGAGAUGGAUAGGGUUCAGCAUCAUGUGGAAGGCAGUCAAGCAGCAGCACUAAAGAUGUACAACAGCCACCAGCCCGGCUAAAGUCAUUCACAAUUUCAAUAUACACUCAGUUGUCAGUUUAUUAGGGACACCCAGCUACAAAUAACAAAGCAAUAAAGCCCACGCUCAUUAUAUUCAAUAGAAACUAUUGUUAGAGUUAUUUAGUUCUUUUUAUUGCCAUCUUGGGGGCUGUAGUUAGUAGUACAGCUAAAGUGUAGUGUGUUACACGUAUCUGAUUGAUCAACAACUAUUUUGAUCAUAAAAUUGUUUCAUUCCUCUUUCAAACACAUGUUUUCACACUCCUUGGCUUCUUUGUAAGACAAAACAAGCAACGAUGAUUGAGAACAGAACAGCUAAGCAACAAAAUAACUUGCUGAAGGAUUGUUAAUACCACUAAUAACAACAUCAGGAGGAUUGACUCACUGUUGAGUUGUAUCUGUGUCCCUUAUAAACUGGCAACUGUGUCAGUCCCCUUUAACUCUCUUCUCUCUCAGACAAUCUCUAUUACCUAAUAUCCCAUAUUUAAAUACUUCAAAUAUACACAUUUAAGCUGCAGCUCCUGAGGGAUCAAAAGGCUUCAGUUAAGUAUUAUCCAAUAAAACAAGUCAAGGAACGUCCAACAUGAUUACAA